rnacentral:tRNA from 1 species
GGGCGAAUAGUUCAGCUGGUCAGAGCGCCUGCCUUACACGCAGGAUGUCACAGGUUCGAAUCCUGUUUCGCCCACCA